rnacentral:rRNA from 1 species
CCCCUAGACGUUCUGGGCUGCACGCGCGCUACAAUAAUACGCACAGCGAGUAUCACCGAGCUCGAAAGGGCAAGGUAAACAAUAGAAAAGGUACUGUAAUGGUUAUAGAUCCUUGUAAUUAUUGAUCUUCAACGAGGAAUUCCUAGUAAGUAUGUGUCAUCAUCACGCACUGAUUACGUCCCUGCCCUUUGUACACACCGCCCGUCGCUACUACCGAUUGAACGGUUUAGUGAGGCCUCGGAUUGGUCUCGGCCCGCUCUUUACCGGGCGGCGCCGUUGGUCGAGAAGACGCUCGAACUUGAUCGUUUAGAGGAAGUAAAAGUCGUAACA